rnacentral:ncRNA from 1 species
CGCCUUUCAGCCCGACCCCCCGGGGCUGAAACGCGACAACCCCGGCCUCCUCCCCCCCUUGGCCGGGGUUGUCUUCU